rnacentral:tRNA from 1 species
AGAAACUUAGGUUAACUUCAAACCAGAGACCUUCAAAGCCUCAAAUAGGGAACCAAUCCCUAGCUUCUG